UUUUGGAUAGGUUGCGAGCGAUGAAGAGUUUAGCGGAGGCGAGGUGGUUUAAGGAGCUGAGAAAUGUGAGUGACUUGUCGGCGGUGGAUGAGUGUUUGUGGGAAAGGGUGUAGCGAUGGUGUUGUUUGAAGAUGGAGGGCGAAUGGGUUUGUGGUGGGUUACGGAGACAACGGCGAGGAAGAGGGUUUUGGGUGGUGAAGAAGCGGAAGUUGUGUGGAGCUUGACGGUGGAGGAUGGUUUAUGUUGGUCGUGGAAUACGCGGCGGCUAGGGUUUUAGAGUGAAUGUGUGUGAAGAAGUUUUUUGAACGAGAGUGAGUAGGGUGAGAGAGUUGGAAGGGUUUUUAGAGAGUUUUUUGAGUGAGUGAUUCAGAGUGAGUCCCUUGUGAGAGUUUGUUGGGAGUGGAGAUAUAGUGGGAGUGAGUGGAGGGAAUGCGUGGCAUGAGAUGAGAGAGACGUUAGGGAAUUUUUCCUUUUAUCUUUUUUUUUUUGUUUUUUUGUUUUUUUUUAAAAGAGAAUCCAAUAUCUAAAAAUAUAUAUUCAUAAUUAUUAAAUAACAAAUUAUUAAAACAAAGCUAAUUAAUAUUUAAAAAAAAACUCUAACUAAUAUUUCAAAUAAACUAACUAAUAUUU
rnacentral:lncRNA from 1 species